UUUCAAGAGUGGAGAAGGGAUGGGAGAAGGAGUGCUGAGGAUAUGGGGAAACUCAGGCAGUUGCUGACAGCAGGUUGAAUCAGAUGUUCAAGAUGGAAAAGCUGCUGCCUUGUGAUACGAUUCAGGGGAAGAAUGUCAGUGGC